rnacentral:rRNA from 1 species
UUGUAGUCUGCAACUCGACUACAUGAAGCUGGAAUCGCUAGUAAUCGCGAAUCAGAAUGUCGCGGUGAAUACGUUCCCGGGUCUUGUACACACCGCCCGUCACACCAUGGGAGUCGGAAACGCCCGAAGCCAGUGACCCAACCUGAGAAGGAGGGAGCUGUCGAAGGCGGGGCCGGUAACUGGGGUGAAGUCGUAACAAGGUAGC